GUUUUUGAGUGGAGCAACUUCCUCAACGCGGCAGUACAGCUGAUACUCUUGACCCUCCAGCAUCGGCCCGUCGUGAUUGAGGAACCCCACCUCGACCUUUUUGGGAGGCUCUGCGAGGACACAAAGUCAAGAGUCGUCAUGCUGUCUCAUCUUUGGGAAGCUUCCCUCGGCCCACUUCCCCAUACACCAUGCGUUUGUCACAUGUCGUCAAAGUUCACGGGUCGCGGGCGUGCUGGAGCCUAUCCCAGCUGUCAUCGGGCAGGAGGCGGGUUACACCCUGAACUGGUUGCCAGCCAAUCGCAGGGCACAUAGGAACAAACAACCAUUCGCACUCACAGUCAUGCCUACGGGCAAUUUAGAGUCUCCAAUUCAUGCAUGUUUUUGGGAUGUGGGAGGAAACCGGAGUACCCGGAGAAAACCCACGCAGGCACGGGGAGAACAUGCAAACUCCACACAGGCGGGGCCGGGGAUUGAACCCGGGUCCUCAGAACUGUGAGGCUGGCGCUCUAACCAGUCAGCCACCGUGCCGCGACUUGUAAUUAAGUACACUAUUAUCCUAUUUUCACAGUACUUGUCAAGAAGCAUUUUUGUCUUAUUAUAUUAAAACAUUCAACUUUGACCAACUUCAUUGCCAACUAUCAAAUACGAGAAUGUUUUCAAAUUCAUCUGGCCUUGAGGGAGGCUAAAGUGCUC